AGCAGCCGCGGUAAUUCCAGCUCCAAUAGCGUAUAUUAAAGUUGUUGCAGUUAAAAAGCUCGUAGUUGAAUUUCGGGGUUAGUAGGUUGGUCAUGCCUCUGGUAUGUACUGGUCUCACUGAUUCCUCCUUCCUGAUGAACCUUAAUGCCAUUAAUUUGGUGUUUUGGGGAAUUUGGACUGUUACUUUGAAAAAAUUAGAGUGUUUAAAGCAAGCUAACGCUUGAAUACAUUAGCAUGGAAUAAUGAAAUAGGACGUUCGAUCCUAUUUCGUUGGUUUCUAGGAUUGACGUAAUGAUUAAUAGGGAUAGUUGGGGGCAUUAGUAUUCAAUUGUCAGAGGUGAAAUUCUUGGAUUUAUUGAAGACUAACUACUGCGAAAGCAUUUGCCAAGGAUGUUUUCAUUAAUCAAGAACGAAAGUUAGGGGAUCGAAGACGAUCAGAUACCGUCGUAGUCUUAACCAUAAACUAUGCCGACUAGGGAUCGGAUGAUGUUAAUUUUUUAAUGACUCA
rnacentral:rRNA from 1 species